rnacentral:rRNA from 1 species
CUACGGGGGGCUCCAGUCGAGGAAAUUUUACAAUGCUCGAAAGAGUGAUAGAAUUAGCCAGAGUGUUUCUCAUAGAGAAACUUUUUUUUGAUGUAAAUAGUCAGAAGAAUAAGGACUGGGCAAGACCGGUGCCAGCCGCCGCGGUAAUACCGGCGGUCCAAGUCGCAUCCACAUUUAUUGGGUCUAAAACAUUCGUAGCUUGUUUUGUAAGUUUCUUGUGAAAUCUGAUAUCUCAAAUAUCAGGCGUGCAAGAAAUACUACAUUGCUAGAGACCGGAAGACGCAAAGAGUACGAAUGAGGUAGCGGUAAAAUGUGUUAAUCUCAUUUGGACUAACAAUGGCGAAGGCACUUUGCGAGUACGGAUCUGACAGUGAGGGAUGAAGGCUAGGGGCGCAAAAGGGAUUAGAUACCCCCGUUAGUC